GACGAACCGUACGAACGUUAUUCGGAAUCACUGGGCUUAAAGGGUGCGUAGGCGGCCCGGAAAGUUGGGUGUGAAAGCCCUCGGCUCAACCGAGGAAUUGCGCCCAAAACUACCGGGCUUGAGGGAGACAGAGGUGAGCGGAACUUAGGGUGGAGCGGUGAAAUGCGUUGAUAUCCUAAGGAACACCAGGAGCGAAAGCGGCUCACUGGGUCUCUUCUGACGCUGAGGCACGAAAGCUAGGGGAGCGAACGGG
rnacentral:rRNA from 1 species